rnacentral:sRNA from 1 species
UUUCGUCGUUUCACUGUUCUCGCGAAGC